rnacentral:rRNA from 1 species
AGUGAACGCUGGCGGUAGGCCUAACACAUGCAAGUCGAACGGCAGCACAGUAAGAGCUUGCUCUUACGGGUGGCGAGUGGCGGACGGGUGAGGAAUACAUCGGAAUCUACUUUUUCGUGGGGGAUAACGUAGGGAAACUUACGCUAAUACCGCAUACGACCUACGGGUGAAAGCAGGGGAUCUUCGGACCUUGCGCGAUUCAAUGAGCCGAUGUCGGAUUAGCUAGUUGGCGGGGUAAAGGCCCACCAAGGCGACGAUCCGUAGCUGGUCUGAGAGGAUGAUCAGCCACACUGGAACUGAGACACGGUCCAGACUCCUACGGGAGGCAGCAGUGGGGAAUAUUGCACAAUGGGCGAAAGCCUGAUCCAGCCAUACCGCGUGGGUGAAGAAGGCCUUCGGGUUGUAAAGCCCUUUUGUUGGGAAAGAAAAGCAGCAGGUUAAUACCCCGCUGUUCUGACGGUACCCAAAGAAUAAGCACCGGCUAACUUCGUG